UGGGGAAUAUUGCACAAUGGGCGCAAGCCUGAUGCAGCCAUGCCGCGUGUAUGAAGAAGGCCUUCGGGUUGUAAAGUACUUUCAGCGGGGAGGAAGGGAGUAAAGUUAAUACCUUUGCUCAUUGACGUAACCCGCAGAAGAAGCACCGGCUAACUCCGUGCCAGCAGCCGCGGUAAUACGGAGGGUGCAAGCGUUAAUCGGAAUUACUGGGCGUAAAGCGCACGCAGGCGGUUGAUUGAGUCAGAUGUGAAAUCCCCGGGCUUAACCCGGGAAUUGCAUCUGAUACUGGUCAGCUAGAGUCUUGUAGAGGGGGGUAGAAUUCCAUGUGUAGCGGUGAAAUGCGUAGAGAUGUGGAGGAAUACCGGUGGCGAAGGCGGCCCCCUGGACAAAGACUGACGCUCAGGUGCGAAAGCGUGGGGAGCAAACAGG
rnacentral:rRNA from 1 species